CAGCACAUGGGGAAUUGUAGCAGCUGGAUGAAGCCAUAUAUAUAUAUAUAUAUAUAUAUUUCCCUCUGUCUAGCUAGCUGCAUCAAGUUAACAUGAUCAAGUAAAUCCCUUCUUUCAACUUUCUCUAUAUGCAUCUUUAAGCCAUAUGGAGUAUUUAACUGUUUUACUCGUUACUAUAAGCUAGAAUAUAUACUCACAACUUUUCCUUAACUAUUUCUAGCCUAAUUUCAUUUUUUCCAAUUUCGGAUUCUCUUGAAACUUAUGAUUAUGUCUUGCAUAACCAUCAAAGAGACUUAGCACCCCCUAAGAUUAAGAAAAAGAGGAGAAAAUUACUUGGCUAAGCCUUCUAUCAAGAGGAAAUCACAAAAAGUCUUUUAUCAUAUAUAUAUAUAUAUAUAUGCAUGUGUGGUAGAGAUCGUUCGAUGAUACAUGUACAAUGUCUAAUUAAAUGAAUUUGUUUAUGGUAUUCUAUAUAGUGCUAAUUAGUCGGCUAAUUAUUUUUCUUAUUCUGUUCUCUCCCCUAAACUAGUUCCUUUUUUUUCUUUCCUUUUAACGGCUAAAAAGAACUAUAUAUAUGCAUGGUUUGUUCAAUUUAGUUUCAACAUUUGUUGUCUUAUCUACUAUCAACCAGCUAGCGCAGAGCCACUAGAAUACCUCGUUGAGUUCAGUUGAACCAUGAAUGUAUUGAGAUAGCCUUCUGAAUAUAAAUUCUGUUAAACACAAGAUCUGAUCUGAAUAUAAACAUGAUGAAAUCUACCGUUUUUGAAAUAAAUUUUUCAGAAUAUAAAUAAAAAAACCGGUAAACCCUAGAUCGACAACUAUGACAUAUAGUAGUUGUAUAGCAAAUAUUUUUUGGACUUUAUCUUAACACCUUCCAAAAAUAGUGGCAAGUCUCACAACAGAAAAAAAUUUAGCUAAAAAAAGAUAAGAGAUCACAAGAAAAUCUCAUGACUUUACCUGUUCGGUGUGAUCUAUGUUUUUCUGAUGAGAAUAAUGAAAAGGGAAGUACCUCUUUAUUUAUAAUCUUUGUGAGAGCUCUCUCGGAAAACUAUUUACAAAGUAACAAAGAGAAAGUACUUCACAGGUUCUUUAAAUUACCACUAGUGAUGAAACCCUAAUUGGAGAAGGGAGCUUUUGCAACAAAACUGAAAGGAGGAGGCAAAGAGCAUUUAGUGAUGGAGAAGGAAUGAAGGCAAAAGACAAAAGGGCAAUAAAUGUGAGGUACAUUAUGAUAAAAAAGAUGACUAUGGCCCUCAAAAUCGAAUAAUAAUAAUAAUAUCAAGGAGCUGUGGGGUUGUUUCCCAUUUUUCCUUCUACCCUUUUCUUCCUGCUCAUGCACUACUCAGUCACAACCAAAAUAAAUUCUAAAUAUGUAUUUCGCUUUUUUAUAUUUUUUUACUCUGACAAAUGAAUCUCAAAUAGUAUGUGUCAAACAUCUCAUUUACCUCCUGGUCAUUCCUUGUCUGGUUGGCCAUUAUAUUAAACCAAUAAUUCAGCAAUUCAACCAACAUGAACGAUUGUGAUUUAGUGGUAGAUACUUCUUCUUUCUUAUUAAGAGGUUUUAGAUUAGAAUCUCAAAUACGAAAUCGCCCUAAUUUAUGGAGCUAUUUACCUCCUAACAUAGGAUUUUCGAACACAAAUCCAGAUUUAAUUUAGUCAAACACCAAUACAUAUAUCCUGAUUUUUAGUCCGGCCCUAAUACCGGACAACAUAUAAUAAGAGAGGAAGAGAUUGAGAUGUAGAUAGUUUCUUAAUUUUUUUAAAAAAAAAGUAUAUACUCUCGUCGGAUUGGAGCAUGGAGAUGAUUGUUUGAAGAACAUUGCUAUAAAAGAGAGCUGAGCCUUAUCUGAAUUUCCCUCCUAAUUUGUGGAAAAUCCUAUCCAGUAUCCACUUGUUUGUAUCAACUUCUUGUCCAUUCAUAUUUGAUCACUCUUUUUGUGGAGUUAACAUGCUACGUUACUGCUCUUGACAAAUGUCUAGGAAAUAGGAUAAAUUGCAAUUGAACUUAAGUAUUCAUUAUUCUUACAUUUUUCGCGCACCAUUUAAGAACUAAAAGGAAAUAUCCUUAUAUAUAACGUCAUGUCGUUGUGCUUAAGAAAAUAAUCACUAGUAUGCUAACUCAUGGUUUGUUUUGUUGUUUACAUAAGAAUUUCAAAUUAAAUCAGUGUAGAUACAUUUUUUUUGCGUGUAUGUGUUGACCUAAGCGGUAUAAGUUUUGAUGAUUUGACAAAGAAACACAAGCAUGAAUCAGGUCCAUAAAUACUCAAGUCAACAUCGGAAACAAGCAAAAGGCAUACAUAUGCAAGGGAAAAGCAUAAGUAGUUAUUUCUGAUAAUACCUAAACGAAAAGAUUGCAUAUUUGAUAAUGUUAUUUUCUUUUACAGGCAACUGCACACAUACAGAAGUGAAAGCAAGAAUAGAGAGCAAAUAACAAGGCAUUUUGUGAACAAUUUCCGUGAGACUUAAAAGUGUGACCCUGAAGCUACACAAACCUGAUUGCAGAACUAGUUUCAUGAAGAGUUUUAUGCCACCUAUCUUUAAUUCUAGUUUAAGUGUAGUAGGACCUUUGGAGUUGAACAUUCAGCUUGCUUUAAAAGCAUUUGUACUAGGGGUGUUCAUCGGGCUGAUUGAGCGGCUUUUUACUCUUAACGGUUUGGCUUAACGGUUAAUGUAUUCAUCUGUUAGCCACCCGAUAAGAUAUCGGGCAGAUUGGUAUCGGGUUAGCUCUUAUCAGGCGGUUACCGGACGGUUUAUCGGUUUAAUACCAAUGGGGGUUAUCGAAUAGCUUAUACCGAAUUACAAUACUUGUACAAUACUAAAAGUCUAAAAAGCAGAAGACAAUUACAAAUUGUACACAUUUUCUAUCCGCACCCUACAUUGUCCAAUGUCCAGCUCCAUUUCUACUUCUUUUCCUA
rnacentral:lncRNA from 1 species